AUUGAACGCUGGCGGCAGGCCUAACACAUGCAAGUCGAACGGUAACAGGAAACAGCUUGCUGUUUCGCUGACGAGUGGCGGACGGGUGAGUAAUGUCUGGGAAACUGCCUGAUGGAGGGGGAUAACUACUGGAAACGGUAGCUAAUACCGCAUAACGUCGAAAGACCAAAGAGGGGGACCCUCGGGCCUCUUGCCAUCGGAUGUGCCCAGAUGGGAUUAGUUGGUUGGUGGGGUAACGGCUCACCAAGGCGACGAUCCCUAGCUGGUCUGAGAGGAUGACCAGCCACACGGGAACUGAGACACGGUCCAGACUCCUACGGGAGGCAGCAGUGGGGAAUAUUGCACAAUGGGCGCAAGCCUGAUGCAGCCAUGCCGCGUGUAUGAAGAAGGCCUUCGGGUUGUAAAGUACUUUCAGCGGGGAGGAAGGGAGUAAAGUUAAUACCUUUGCUCAUUGACGUUACCCGCAGAAGAAGCACCGGCUAACUCCGUG
rnacentral:rRNA from 1 species